AUCCCUGUGGCACAAUGGAUAGUGCGUUGGACUUCUAAUCCAAAGACCUUGGGUUCCAUACCCACCUGGGAUG